rnacentral:sRNA from 1 species
UUUUGCCAACAACAACUGGUACUUCUUCCUGCGCCUGCACCAGACCCUGUGCUCCAGGCUGCUGAAGAUCUACCGCCAGGCGCAGAAGCAGCUUCUGGAGUAUCGGACCGAGAAGGAGCGGGAGAAGCUGCUGUGUGAGGGCCGCAGGGAGAAGGGCAGCGACCCCGCCAUGGAGCUGCGGCUGAAGCAGCCCAGUGAAGUGGAGCUGGAGGAGUACUACCCGGCCUUCCUGGACAUGGUGCGGAGCCUGCUGGAGGGCAGCAUCGACCCCACGCAGUACGAGGACACCCUACGCGAGAUGUUCACCAUCCAUGCCUACGUGGGCUUCACCAUGGACAAGCUGGUGCAGAACAUUGCGCGGCAGAGUUUUGCUCUUGUCUCCCAGGCUGGAGUACAAUGGCACAAUCUCUGCUCACUGCAACCUCUGCCUCCUGGUUUCAAGCAAUUCUCCUGCCUCAGCCUCCUGAGUAGCUGGGAUUACAGGUGCGCACCACCACGCCUGGCUAAUUUUUGUAUUUUUAGUAGAGAGGGGGUUUCACCAUGUUGGGCAGGCUGGUCUCGAA